rnacentral:rRNA from 1 species
GACGAACGCUGGCGGCGUGCCUAAUACAUGCAAGUCGAACGCAGUGGGGACGGGUGAGUAACACGUGGGUAACCUCCCAUCAGAGGGGAUAACACUUGGAAACAGGUGCUAAACCGAUACUGAUGGAUGGACCCGCGGUGCAUUAGCUAGUUGGUGGGGUAACGGCUCACCAAGGCCACGAUGCAUAGGCGACCUGGGAGGGGGAUCGGGCCAACUUGGACGUAGACACGGCCCAGACUCCCACGGGAGGGAGCCGUAGGGAAUUUUCGGCAAUGGACGAAAGUCUGACCGAGCAACGCCGCGGUAGUGAAGAAGGUUUUCGGAUCGUAAAACCCUGGUGUUAGAGAAGCGGUAUCUAACCAGAAAGCCACGGCUAACUACGUGCCAGCAGCCGCGGUAAUUC